rnacentral:rRNA from 1 species
CAAAAGCGUAUAUUAAAGUUGUUGCAGUUAAAAAGCUCGUAGUUGGAUUUCUGGUGGGAGCGAUCGGUCUGGCGCUUAGCGCGAGUACUUGCAUCGUCUCCGGCCAUCCUUGGGGAGAGUCUGUCUGGCAUUAGGUUGUCGGGCAGAGGAUCCUCAUCGUUUACUGUGAAAAAAUUAGAGUGUUCAAAGCAGGCUUAUGCCGUUGAAUAUAUUAGCAUGGAAUAAUAAGAUAGGACUUUGGUACUAUUUUGUUGGUUUGCGCACCAAAGUAAUGAUUAAUAGGGACAGUUGGGGGUAUUCGUAUUCCGUUGUCAGAGGUGAAAUUCUUGGAUUUACGGAAGACGAACUACUGCGAAAGCAUUUACCAAGGAUGUUUUCAUUAA